AAUCUUAUAGUUUAAUAAAAACGUUAAAUUGCAAAUUUAAAAAUAAUAAAAUUUAAGAUUU
rnacentral:tRNA from 1 species